rnacentral:tmRNA from 1 species
GGGGGCGUACAGGUUUCGACGGGGUCAUUGGUCCCGGUGAAGCGGGUAGAGGAUUCUCGUUGGCCUCUUUAAAAAGCGAGAACAACUUAUAGUUGCCAAACAACCGCAACUCGCAGCAGCUUAAUUAGCUGAAGCCGCCGAUCCGUUUUUUCUGUGGGGCGGGUUAUCGGCGCCAUGACACAGACCUUACCCGCGGGAGGUUAAACGGGCAAACAGACGGGCCUAAGCUUUGCAGUCCGCUCUGAAUUGAUGAAGCUACCUGAUCCAUGAGCCUGCCGUGAGGCGCUUGCAUUCGGGGAAUUCUAAAGACACGGCUGCACCCGGAGAAACACCGGAGGAUGUGGUUUCGGACAGGAGUUCGAUUCUCCUCGCCUCCACCA